UGGCGUCAGGCGUAACCCAUCCAAGUCGAGCGGAAUCGAGUUAUAUGAACCUUCGGGGAACGAUAACGGCGUCGAGCGGCGGACGGGUGAGUAAUGCCUAGGAAAUUGCCUUGAUGUGGGGGAUAACCAUUGGAAACGAUGGCUAAUACCGCAUGAUGCCUACGGGCCAAAGAGGGGGACCUUCGGGCCUCUCGCGUCAAGAUAUGCCUAGGUGGGAUUAGCUAGUUGGUGAGGUAAUGGCUCACCAAGGCGACGAUCCCUAGCUGGUUUGAGAGGAUGAUCAGCCACACUGGAACUGAGACACGGUCCAGACUCCUACGGGAGGCAGCAGUGGGGAAUAUUGCACAAUGGGCGCAAGCCUGAUGCAGCCAUGCCGCGUGUAUGAAGAAGGCCUUCGGGUUGUAAAGUACUUUCAGCAGUGAGGAA
rnacentral:rRNA from 1 species